UACGUAGGGGGCUAGCGUUGUCCGGAAUCAUUGGGCGUAAAGAGCGCGUAGGCUGCUCGGUAAGUCCGCUGUAAAAGUCAAAGGCUUAACCUUUGAAUGUACAGUGGAAACUGCCGGGCUAGAGUCCGGAAGAGGCGAGUGGAAUUCCUGGUGUAGCGGUGAAAUGCGUAGAUAUCAGGAGGAACACCGGUGGUGUAGACGGCUCACUGGACCAUAACUGACGCUGAAACACGAAAGCGUGGGUAGCAAACAGG
rnacentral:rRNA from 1 species